rnacentral:rRNA from 1 species
UACGAAGGGGGCUAGCCUUGCUCGGAAUCACUGGGCGUAAAGGGUGCGUAGGCGGGUCUUUAAGUCAGGGGUGAAAUCCUGGAGCUCAACUCCAGAACUGCCUUUGAUACUGAAGAUCUUGAGUCCGGGAGAGGUGAGUGGAACUGCGAGUGUAGAGGUGAAAUGCGCAGAUAUCGGGAAGAACACCCGUGGCGAAGGCGGCUCUCUGGGAUAACACUGACGCUCAUGCACGAAAGCGUGGGGAGCAAACAGG